UCGGGCGUGGUGUAGUGCAACACCGCCUCUUGUCAUGCGAAGGGAUGUUGAGAGUUUGCAAAGGCAAUCCCGGGUUCAACUCCCGGCGUCCGAA